GACGAACGCUGGCGGCGUGCUUAACACAUGCAAGUCGAACGGAAAGGCCCUGCUUUUGUGGGGUGCUCGAGUGGCGAACGGGUGAGUAACACGUGAGUAACCUGCCCUUGACUUUGGGAUAACUUCAGGAAACUGGGGCUAAUACCGGAUAGGAGCUCCUGCUGCAUGGUGGGGGUUGGAAAGUUUCGGCGGUUGGGGAUGGACUCGCGGCUUAUCAGCUUGUUGGUGGGGUAGUGGCUUACCAAGGCUUUGACGGGUAGCCGGCCUGAGAGGGUGACCGGCCACAUUGGGACUGAGAUACGGCCCAGACUCCUACGGGAGGCAGCAGUGGGGAAUAUUGCACAAUGGGCGGAAGCCUGAUGCAGCAACGCCGCGUGCGGGAUGACGGCCUUCGGGUUGUAAACCGCUUUCGCCUGUGACGAAGCGUGAGUGACGGUAAUGGGUAAAGAAGCACCGGCUAACUACGUGCCAGCAGCCGCGGUGAUACGUAGGGUGCGAGCGUUGUCCGGAUUUAUUGGGCGUAAAGGGCUCGUAGGUGGUUGAUCGCGUCGGAAGUGUAAUCUUGGGGCUUAACCCUGAGCGUGCUUUCGAUACGGGUUGACUUGAGGAAGGUAGGGGAGAAUGGAAUUCCUGGUGGAGCGGUGGAAUGCGCAGAUAUCAGGAGGAACACCAGUGGCGAAGGCGGUUCUCUGGGCCUUUCCUGACGCUGAGGAGCGAAAGCGUGGGGAGCGAACAGGCUUAGAUACCCUGGUAGUCCACGCUGUAAACGGUGGGUACUAGGUGUGGGGUCCAUUCCACGGGUUCCGUGCCGUAGCUAACGCUUUAAGUACCCCGCCUGGGGAGUACGGCCGCAAGGCUAAAACUCAAAGAAAUUGACGGGGCCCCGCACAAGCGGCGGAGCAUGCGGAUUAAUUCGAUGCAACGCGUAGAACCUUACCUGGGUUUGACAUGGGUCGGGAGUGCUCAGAGAUGGGUGUGCCUCUUUUGGGGUCGGUUCACAGGUGGUGCAUGGCUGUCGUCAGCUCGUGUCGUGAGAUGUUGGGUUAAGUCCCGCAACGAGCGCAACCCUUGUUCACUGUUGCCAGCACGUUAUGGUGGGGACUCAGUGGAGACCGCCGGGGUCAACUCGGAGGAAGGUGGGGAUGACGUCAAGUCAUCAUGCCCCUUAUGUCCAGGGCUUCACGCAUGCUACAAUGGCUGGUACAGAGAGUGGCGAGCCUGUGAGGGUGAGCGAAUCUCGGAAAGCCGGUCUCAGUUCGGAUUGGGGUCUGCAACUCGACCUCAUGAAGUCGGAGUCGCUAGUAAUCGCAGAUCAGCAACGCUGCGGUGAAUACGUUCCCGGGGCU
rnacentral:rRNA from 1 species